rnacentral:rRNA from 1 species
AGUGAACACUGGCGGUAGGCCUAACACAUGCAAGUCGAACGGCAGCACAGUAAGAGCUUGCUCUUACGGGUGGCGAGUGGCGGACGGGUGAGGAAUACAUCGGAAUCUACUUUUUCGUGGGGGAUAACGUAGGGAAACUUACGCUAAUACCGCAUACGACCUACGGGUGAAAGCAGGGGAUCUUCGGACCUUGCGCGAUUGAAUGAGCCGAUGUCGGAUUAGCUAGUUGGCGGGGUAAAGGCCCACCAAGCCGACGAUCCGUAGCUGGUCUGAGAGGAUGAUCAGCCACACUGGAACUGAGACACGGUCCAGACUCCUACGGGAGGCAGCAGUGGGGAAUAGUGGACAAUGGGCGCAAGCCUGAUCCAGCCAUACCGCGUGGGUGAAGAAGGCCUGCGGGUUGUAAAGCCCUUUUGUUGGGAAAGAAAAGCAGCAGGUUAAUACCCCGCUGUUCUGACGGUACCCAAAGAAUAAGCACCGGCUAACUUC